rnacentral:ncRNA from 1 species
AAUUAGGGUUCGACUCCGGAGAGGGAGCCUUAGAAACGGCUACCACGUCCAAGGAAGGCAGCAGGCGCGAAACUUAUCCACUGUUGAGUAUGAGAUAGUGACUAAAAAUAUAAAGACUCAUCCUUUUGGAUGAGUUAUUUCAAUGAGUUGAAUAUAAAUUAUUCUUCGAGUAGCAAGGAGAGGGCAAGUCUGGUGCCAGCAGCCGCGGUAAUUCCAGCUCUCCUAGUGUAUCUCGUUAUUGCUGCGGUUAAAAAGCUCGUAGUUGGAUCUAGGUUACGUGCCGCAGUUCGCAAUUUGCGUUAACUGUGGUCGUGACUUCUAAUUUGCUGGUUUGAGGUUGGGUUCGCCCUUCAACUGCCAGCAGGUUUACCUUGAAUAAAUCAGAGUGCUCAAUACAGGCGCUUGCUUGAAUAGCUCAUCAUGGAAUAAUGAAACAGGACUUCGGUUCUUUUUGUUGGUUCUAGAAUUGAUCUAAUGGUUAAGAGGGACAAACCGGGGGCAUUCGUAUCAUUACGCGAGAGGUGAAAUUCGUGGACCGUAGUGAGACGCCCAAUAGCGAAAGCAUUUGCCAAGAAUGUCUUCAUUAAUCAAGAACGAAAGUCAGAGGUUCGAAGGCGAUUAGAUACCGCCCUAGUUCUGACCGUAAACGAUGCCAUCUCGCGAUUCGGAGGGUUCAUGCCCUACCGAGGAGCUACCCGGAAACGAAAGUCUUUCGGUUCCGGGGGUAGUAUGGUUGCAAAGCUGAAACUUAAAGAAAUUGACGGAAGGGCACCACAAGGCGUGGAGCUUGCGGCUUAAUUUGACUCAACACGGGAAAACUCACCCGGUCCGGACACUAUUAGGACUGACAGAUUGAAAGCUCUUUCUCGAUUUGGUGGUUGGUGGUGCAUGGCCGUUCUUAGUUGGUGGAGUGAUUUGUCUGGUUUAUUCCGAUAACGAGCGAGACUCUAGCCUGCUAAAUAGUCGACGAAUCUUCGGGUUCGUAUAACUUCUUAGAGGGAUAAGCGGUGUUUAGCCGCACGAGAUUGAGCGAUAACAGGUCUGUGAUGCCCUUAGAUGUCCGGGGCUGCACGCGUGCUACACUGGUGGAGUCAGCGGGUUUUUCCUAUGCCGAAAGGUAUCGGUAAACCGUUGAACUUCUUCCAUGUCCGGGAUAGGGUAUUGUAAUUAUUACCCUUAAACGAGGAAUGCCUAGUAAGUGUGAGUCAUCAGCUCACGUUGAUUACGUCCCUGCC